CGUUUGUAUGUCUAUUAUCUAUGAUCAUAACCAUAUUUCAACAUGAUUUCAAUCAAAUUAUACAAGUUAUACAAUUAUAAUUAUAACUAUAACAAUAAUCAGCACUUAGAACAAUUUGCCUAUGGAAGAAAACUUCUUACUAAACAGUACCAUUAGAACAUUUUGGAUAUCAUUUUAGACAUAAAGAAAGUAAUUCCAACUAUUCCCUAUGGGAUCGUCUCUCAAGUGUUUUGGGUUGUUGACUGUGGAGGUGGAUACUGCAAUGUCGUCAAGUUAAGAAAUCCAGAACUGCUCUUUCCAAUUCAUGGGUACUUCAUUGGAAAGUACAGUGGGUUGCCUAUAUGAUGGAACAACAAUCGUGAGCAAGUUUUGAAAUUCAUGGGAAAUGAAUGAGUGCUCUGUAAUCUCUACAAAGAAGAGUUGAAAUUUGUAAGCAACUAAAUUUUUCGAUUUUAUUAUAAUAAUAUAUAUUUUGUAUAUACAUAACCAGUCGUAAGAAAAUAUUUAUUAUUUCAUGAUAUUAAUCUCUGUUAAUGUACAUUAAUGUUUUUCACUAAGUUUUGAGUAGUUGUUGUAUUUACGUUGUGUACUAUACACUACCAUUUUUUAUAAGAAAAUGUUUGUGUAGUUAAAAAUACGGACAGAAAACUUGUUGGGUUCACCUGAGAAAAUUGUGCAUUUUAUUUUUCAAUUUAAUUUUCCAUUAUUAAGAAAGAUGAGAGUAUAAAAAUAUAAUAAAGUAAUAAUA